rnacentral:rRNA from 1 species
UGAGGAAUAUUGGACAAUGUGCGCAAGCCUGAUCCAGCCAUGCCGCGUGCAGGAAGAAGCAUCUAUGGUGUGUAAACUGCUUUUGUACGGGAAGAAACACUCCUCCGUGUAGGAGCUUGACGGUACCGUAAGAAUAAGGAUCGGCUAACUCCUUGCCAGCAGCCGCGGUAAUACGGAGGAUCCAAGCGUUCUCCGGCAUCAUUGGGUUUAAAGGGUCCGUAGGCGGUUUAGUAAGUCAGUGGUGAAAGCCCAUCGCUCAACGAUGGAACGGCCAUUGAUACUGCUAGACUUGAAUUAUUAGGAAGUAACUAGAAUAUGUAGUGUAGCGGUGAAAUGCUUAGAUAUUACAUGGAAUACCAAUUGCGAAGGCAGGUUACUACUAAUGGAUUGACGCUGAUGGACGAAAGCGUGGGGAGCGAACA